rnacentral:rRNA from 1 species
AACGAACGCUGGCGGCAGGCCUAACACAUGCAAGUCGAGCGGACAUCUUCGGAUGUUAGCGGCGGACGGGUGAGUAACGCGUGGGAACGUGCCCUUUGCUUCGGAAUAGCCUCGGGAAACUGGGAGUAAUACCGGAUGUACCCUUUGGGGGAAAGAUUUAUCGGCAAAGGAUCGGCCCGCGUUGGAUUAGGUAGUUGGUGGGGUAAUGGCCUACCAAGCCGACGAUCCAUAGCUGGUUUGAGAGGAUGAUCAGCCACACUGGGACUGAGACACGGCCCAGACUCCUACGGGAGGCAGCAGUGGGGAAUCUUAGACAAUGGGGGAAACCCUGAUCUAGCCAUGCCGCGUGAGCGAUGAAGGCCUUAGGGUUGUAAAGCUCUUUCAACGGGGAAGAUAAUGACGGUACCCGGAGAAGAAGCCCCGGCUAACUCCGUG